AAAAAAAUAUAACUUCUCAAACACUGUGUCUAUUGGCACUGCCGGGAGAAUGUAUUAGAAUGUCUAUAAACUUGCGGACCAGUUUGUAUAGUUAAAUUUGGCAUGCGAACUAUAAUUGAAAUAGAAAACCAGAAUAGGUGCAUUGCAGAUGACAAAGAUUUCUGUAAAAGAACAUACCAUUUAUCAAUAUACCGUAUAGUGAACAAAAAAAUAAUGAGCCACUAAUAUAAACGGACAGUUCGUUAAACCGGAUAAGUUGUAACACAAACUCGCAAAUUUCGUUUGAUCAGGUUAUUUUCAUAAAAUAUUUCGAUACUUUCAAGUUUCAGCUCAUCGGAGUGAGAUGAUUAGAUGAAGAUGGAUGAAGAUAGCUGUUUCUUCGGCAAUGGCGGCACUCUAGCUGCGUUUCACCGGAAGAGUAGAUGUUUACGAUUCUGGCUGUAUUCUGGAGCGUUUCCUCAUAGGCGUCGCAGUUCACACACGUCACGGAUUCCGCCGAAGGAGUCGAUAAUUAAAACUGAACUUUUGGAUCGGAGAUAUGAAGACGGCGCUGCAUUUUGCUUGGUGGAGACGCACAGCUCUGACACUAGACAAUAUUAUACACUCAAAGGGACCGCGCGUUUCGCCGGAAGAAUAAAUAAUAACUGAACUAAAAAAUAAUAAGCCACCAAUAUAAACGGACUGUUUGUUAAACAGUAUAUAUUGUAAUUUUCAGCUCAUCGGUCUAUCUGAGUGAGAUGAUUAGAUGAAGAUAGCUGUUUCUUCGGCGAUGGCGGCACUCUAGCUCGGUUUCACCGGAAGAGUCGAUGCUUACGUCUUCCCAAUGUUUUGACUUCAUGAGAAAGGUUCAAAAAGUAGGUCCACUAGUGAAGUCAGAGUUAUAUCCCGGUUGGUUAACUCAUUGGCAAGAAUCAGAAUCUAAAAUGAAAGUAAUGUCGGCAAUGAAUGCUUCGUUUAGCUUUUAUAUAUUUCACGGAGGCACAAAUUUUGGAUUCACAUCGGCAUAUUUGAAAAGGUUGCUCAACGUAUUAAACCAGUGAUCAGUGAUGUUCCUUUACCGUUUGAGGACUUAGAUAUUAACUGUGGUUUUGUAAUAUAUGAAACAACAUUAACAGAUGAUCAAAAAAAUGUUGAAAAUCCAGUAAAUCUAACUGUGAACACGGUUAGAGAUCGAGCAAUCAUUACCUGGAUCAAGUAGAGUUACAUUGCAGUUAUAGUUUUAGAAACAUGGGUGUUCAAAUUUUUUUUUUAGGUACAAGUGGGUACUAUGAAUCGGUUGAAAGCUAAUACUACAAUAAGCUUAAACAUUAACCGUACUGUUCAAAACAUAAGCAUUUUAAUUGAGAAUCAGGGUAGGAUUAAUUUUGGAGACUUUAUUGAAGAUAGGAAGGGAAUUUUUGAUCAAGUGAUUCUUGGAAAUAAAAUAUUAAGCCCUUGGAAAAUGACUGCAUAUCCUUUGAAUUAUACAUCAUGGAUUUCUUCAAUCAAAUCAGUUGAAAACAUCAACAGUGUUAAAUUACCAGCAUUUUAUAAAACACAGUUUACAUUACCAGUGUGUCAUUCUAUAAAACCAUCCAUUGACAAGCAAUAAUUUAUUCACAGUUCAUAACAUCAACUAGAUAGGGCCCAGCUAGGAUACCUACAUAAUUCAGAAAAUUAAAACAUAUUCCCAGACAACAAAAUAAAGUUUAGAGAAGUUUCAAAAACAUUUGAAAUAUAUAACGUGUAAUGUUCUAAUAAAAUUUCAACGUAGUGUUACUAAUAUCACUGGAAUGUUAUAAUAAUUUUUUGUCGUCCUUUUUUGUCCGCCUUUUAAAUGUUACAAUAAAGCUAUAUGUUUAAUAUAGAAUGGAAUGCAGAUUUUAAAUAAAACAAAGUUUUAAUGCAAUUAUAUUACCUAAUAUAUUAAUUGUUUAUUAUUUAUUAAUUCAUAUUUAUUAAAGAACACAAUUUAUAGUUUGUUAUUUUUUUCAACUGCUUUGUUCAGAAGCCUAAAUUUAGAGUGAUUGAGCCAGUUUGCUAAUGGGUCAUUAAAAUCUUUAUUGAUCUUAUCUUUGUAUUUUUGAUGGAUUCUUAAUGCAUCUAAAACAAAUAAAACAUACAUAAAGUUAAUACAAAUAAAAUGUCCACCACAAAAAGUAACAUUAUAAUAUUUAUUACUAGGGCUCGGACUGGAAUGCAAAUACCUUUGUUUAUGAUAAUAGAAAAAUAAUUUUUAUAUCAGGUAAAGAAGUCGGGGAUUUAUCGCAGGGCGUAUUUUUAAGGUUUUAAAUUUUAAAAUUGAAAAUGGACUUUAAAACAAAAGUCAAAACUACAAAGUAAUAUUUUACAGGAAAUGUGUAAUAUUGGGUAUGCAAAUAAAAUAAAAUAAUUUUAUUUUUAAUCGAGAUAAGUAGUAACUAAUAAGUAAUAACGUUGAUUUACAAAUUAAAAAGGACUAAAUAUGAAAUAAGUACGCUGUGCCGUGAAAAUACCCGUCCACAACUAUCAACUGUACACGCCUAUAGUCUAUCAUAGAUUAAUGUAGGUACUCUCCGAUUAAUGAUAUAAUAAAGUAUGGUAAAUUACAUCGUUUUCUUGCAUAUAAUAUAAUAUAUUAUAUUAAUAUAUUUUAUAAAUUGUUUCUAUAUAUUAAGUAGAUAGUUAUUUAAAACUUAAUCCUAAAAAUGGAACUAUUAAUAAUUGUAAUUUGUUGUUAUGUAAUUUAAAAUUAACAAUUGUAUAUUUUUUCAAAUAGGUACCUACUGGCUACUACAUAAAAUGUUACUACUGAUUUAAUUGUUUUCACUUUUCAGAUUAUUUAUUAAAUUACAUAAUUUUCGUAGCUUUUUAAAUACAAGUAUCCACAUAUUAAUUUUCUUGAUAAACUUGAUAGUACAAAAGUACAACAUAAUUAAAUAAUUAAAACAAAAUUACUAUCAUAUUGAUAUAUAGCCCAAGUCAGAUUGAAUAUCAUGUUUUACAUAUUAUAUAAAAAUUAUUUAAAAGGAAAUUUAUAUUCUAAUUGUUUAAUUUUCUUAUUAUAAACUUUUUAUUAGCAAUGGAUACCUAAUUUAGAUUUGUUAAUAAUUAAUAACUCAUACAUGUUAUUAUUAUCAAUAUUAUUUAUUCUUAACCUGGAACUUAGAAAUAUUGACCACAGAUUUUAGUUUUAAAUAACCCAUUAAGAAGUGCUUCUAAAACUAUUACUUGAUUAGCUUAAAAUUCAAAAUGUUUCAUUUUUAAGUUUUCAAAUCGUUUAAAUUAUUUGUGGAAAGGUUUUGUUAAUGGUUGAUUCUCACGAUACUGUGUGAGUGUGCUUGAUUUUUCGUAUUAAAAAUACUAAUUUUGGUCAUCUCCCUGAAAUGGGCGUAUUAUUUUCAUUUUACCCGUGUGUUAAAAAACUUAGAUCCGGAGGUCCAUUUCAAUGGCCCCCCCACUUUCAAAAUUUGAACUUCUGACCACGCUAAACGUUUGUGCAUCGUUUGUGCAGAAAUGUGCACCAAGUCCAAUCGUUUGUGCACAAAAACUGAAAGCUCUAUCCCUAAAACAAAAUGGGGGGGGGGGCAUUGCAACGGUAGCCCCCCACAUUGAAUAUUUGGAUUUUUGAAUGUGCCAAACGUUUGUGCAUCGUUUGUGCAGAAAUGUGCACCAGGUCCCGACGUUUGUGCACAAAAACUCCCAGCGCUAUCCAAAAAACAAAGUGAGGGGUAUUAACACGAUGCUCCCCCCUUUUUUGAUAUUUUAAAUAUUUGUCAUAUUAAUAAAUGUUGUUUACGUACCUAAUAGGUUUAAUAGAAUUUUACUAUUGCCAUGUAAACGUAUGACAAAUAAAAUCUUCAAAUAUUUUUAAUUUAUCAAGAAAGCAUUAUCUUGUUCUAAUGUUUUAGAUUUCAAAAUUGUAUGAAUAAAUACAGUUUUUUCUUUAUGCAUAUCUUUACUUUAUAUUUUAUAUUAUAUUUUGCUGAUGAAAAUGUGUUUAUGGACAGGUACCUCAACUCGACGUUGCUGUAUGUCCGGUCCAAUAAUGUAAGUUAUAAGUCAUUGUGUAAAUUUUAAUACAAUAAAAGCAUAGUAAAAAAAUAAUUAAUAGACUAUAUUAAUAUAGUACCUACUUAAUUAAUUUAAUAUACCUAACCGUACCUAUAUACAUAUAAAAAUAUUAUAAUAAUAUAUUAUUUAUGUUUGAAUUCAUUAGAACAAUGGCGUAUCAGACGUCGCUCCCAAACCGGUCGACAUCCAUCUGCAUAACUGUGAGUUGAAAACGUCUAUAUUUAAAAAUUGUUAUAGUAUAAUAUUUAUCUAAUAGAUUAAUUUUCUUUAGCAUUCCGCAAGAAUGAGCGGUAUAGUUUGAAAACUUACCAAAGUUAUCUGGUGGAUGUCGAUACGUUGGUGAGCAGCCGUCGCACAUAGGUCUGAUGUACCUAUGGAAAGUUAUUAUUGGAUCGGUCACAAUAUUACGUUGAGAAGUUAUCUGUCCAUAAACUUAUUUUCAGAUUUGUAGGCCAAUUUCGUUGCCAUUUUUUAAUCAUUCUUUGUUUUUAUUAAGGUUGAGGUGUAACAGCAUUUUAGGAGCUAUUGUAAUUCCCACUUCCAGGACGUUAUCAUACAUACAGCCGACAGCCCGAUGACCUACAUUUUUGUGUAUUCUGGUCUACCCUAUGAUGGCCGCGAAGUAACGAUCACGUCACCGUUUAUCACAUUGCCCAGUUUGAAAGAGUCUCCAACAAUUUCAUCGGAUAGGUACACCAUAAACCGUGACAUAGCGCUGGGCCAGAAUCAUUUUGUACGGAUCAAUAUCUACAGAAAUGACGUCCCAAUUAUUAGAAGCUAAUAAUAUAGUGUCUUUGUCGAACAGUCAGCUGUACGAAGUUUCCGCUGUGCCACAAAACGGGUCGACGCUGGUCGCUGAACAUGGGAAGUCUUCAAGUCCACCCAGCAUCGUAUUGAUGAAUCAACAAUACAUCUUACAUCUUACAUCUAUCAUUGCAAUCUUAUAAUUAUUCACCUGAAUGCAUGUAAUCCUGAAUGUACAGUUAAUUUAUUACUACCCAUCUACAAAGUC